GGUCAUGAGGACAUCCAUCGGUCUGUGAUAGAGCUAGACCGUGGAAGGAGCAGCGGGCAGCCGCAGCAAUGCCUGGCCAUGGGAAUUCCAAUGCAAGUCAUCAUGAUUCAAGUGCAUAUACUAAAUAGCCUGCAAAGCGUUCGACGGAAUGCUCAUGAGGUGAAUAGGGACAACAACAUGAGGAUAGUGGUUGUCUGAUCUCCCCGUUGUGCCCUAAUAAUGCCUAUUUCUCUACUAGGUCAGAUUCCCCCACCCUAGUAUAUGUUUACAAAAUUGGCAUUGCGCACAUAUCCAGUUUCUUAUUUGCAUCUCCAGAGCAUUCUCUUUGCUUGGUGUUUGUUACGUGGCUUUUGGAUUUUAUUUUUCAUCAAUUAGAUGAUUUCAUUUAAUGUGCCUGCAACUCAUGCUCGCUACUUCCACUGAUGCAAUAGGAUGUCCUGAAUCUUGGCAACAUGUUAUUGGAAGUGACGUCCAAGAAGCCAAACAAUGGCUACAGAUGGAGGAGGCACCAGGCUCCUCCAUGACCUGAAAAUUGGUGAAUAAAGUUGUAGGUAGAUAAAUAGUUAGAAAAUUUGAACUAGAGAUAAUUAUGAUCCAAAUGGUAAGGCAAAUUUAGUCUCUUCCUUAGUUUAGUGGAUAAAUUCGCCUGAAUCUUUGUCCUUAUUUUAAUUUCCUACACCAUGCAGGAAUUUCAGAGAAUUCAGCUUCACUUAUCCAAGCAGGUACUAAGGAAAAACAAUGUUUGUGUGCUAAAUUAUUUUCUUAUGCUAUUGAGAUUGCGCAUCAUAGGUUGUAGGUGCAGUGAAAUUUUUGAAGCAGAAGAAAUAAGUGUGCAACUAUAUAUUUAUAGAAUAAUUAUGCUUAUAUUUGCUGUUACCUUUUGUCAUUGCUUUUGAGCUGCCACAAUCCAUUGUUUCCACAUGAGUUUUAGCUAUUUCCUUUCGGAUGUACCUACCAUCUAUUGUUCACAUUCUUGCCGAUUAUAGGUUAAAUGGCAGAGAUUUCUUCCAGAGUAAGUUUCACUUCUCAUAUGGUAGUUAGAUGCAGCCUUAAAAAAAUAUAUAAAUGAUGACCAAUUUUCCAAAUUCUAUUGCUGUUAGCCAUGUAGUAUAGUACUAAUAUUUUUUCAGUUAAAAAUCCUGCAGGACAUGUACGUCUAUAUUGGGAAGAAGCCACUCUGGUAUUCGUAUGUCCAAAAAUAAUCAAACAAAAAUUUCUACGAUUCCUUCGCAACGGUGUUGAUCUGGUCCGGUGCAGGCAAAGAAGGGGGGCCGUCUCUUGGACCAUAGAGUCUCUGAUUCACAUACUGUUCCUUGCCAAUCUCCUCCACAUGAGUCAGAUGUUCUCAUACUGUGCCGCCUCUACCCUCCCUCCAUUUCGAGGGGAAAAAAUAUACUGCUGCUUCGGCACUAUUCCUCUUAAGUCAAAAAGGAAUUUCAGAGAAUGCAGCUUCACUUAUCCAAGCAUGUGAGGAGUUAUCCAAAAAGCAAGCUGCUCAAGAAGCUACAAUUGGAAAACUGAGGGCACAGGCAUGGAAUAAAACUUUACGCCAUGUCCAGACAACAAAAUGCUUUCCUCAGUAUGACCAAUUAUGCUACUUUUUUGUUCUUCUGUUGAAGCUAGUUCGUGAGCUUGAAGAAGAAAAACAACGUUUGAACUCAAAGAUCCAGGUCGAGGAGACUAAGGUUGAGAUCACUAAGAGAGACAAGGCAGCAACUGAGAAGUUGCUUCAAGAAACAAUAGA